rnacentral:rRNA from 1 species
UGGCGGACGGGUGAGUAACGCGUGGGUAACCUGCCAUAUACAGGGGGAUAACACUUAGAAAUAGGUGCUAAUACCGCAUAAGCGCACAGGGGCGCAUGCCCCGGUGUGAAAAACUCCGGUGGUAUAUGAUGGACCCGCGUCUGAUUAGCCAGUUGGCAGGGUAACGGCCUACCAAAGCGACGAUCAGUAGCCGGCCUGAGAGGGCGGACGGCCACAUUGGGACUGAGACACGGCCCAAACUCCUACGGAAGGCAGCAG